rnacentral:lncRNA from 1 species
GUUGUCUAGUGAAAUAGUGAUUAUUUUUUUUUAUCAUCAGUUGCAGUUGGAUCGAUCUGAUGCUUUCUAGUUCAGGAGAAUGUAAUCCUAUGAAAUACAUGCUUGUUAAAAAUGUACCUUGGGGUAUUGAGUGCUAUUUCAUUAUUAUUUGGGGAAAAUAUGUUAAAUGCUAAAGAAAGAUUUUUAUAAUAAUAUAAGACCAUAAAAUAUAAACUUAUUAAUGAACACUGACACAAGGGCCAAACCCUAAAUUGCAAUAAAUUUUAAGAUAAUCAGAUCAUUAUGUGUUUAAAUGUUCAAGUUAAUAUUAUCAUAACUACCUGGUUCCCUGGAAUGGAUUUUUAUAAUGAGUAAAUGCUUCAGUGGGAACACCAAAAUCGUCUCUGUAUUUGUUCUUGUUUUGUUUUUGUGGCUUAUACAACUGAUUAGAUCUUCUGGUAAAUCUUUCGAAGUUAACAAAAGUGCAUAUUCAAGUACCAUUCAAAUACCCUUGAACUAUAAGUGGUUUUGUAAUUUGAAAUACAUACAUCAAACUUACAAAUAUAGACCCGCAAAAGGCAACAUAGUCAACAGAUCAAGAGUGAGUAGUUAAAUUCAAAUAAUCGAGAUGAAAAUG